rnacentral:lncRNA from 1 species
AUGCUACUGUGGACUACAUACUAUGCUACUGUGGACUACAUACUAUGCUACUGUGGACUACAUACUAUGCUACUGUGGCCUACAUACUAUGCUACUGUGGACUACAUACUAUGCUACUGUGGCCUACAUACUAUGCUACUGUGGACUACAUACUAUGCUACUGUGGACAUACUAUGCUACUGUGGCCUACAUACUAUGCUACUGUGGACUACAUACUAUGCUACUGUGGACUACAUACUAUGCUACUGUGGGCUACAUACUAUGCUACUGUGGACUACAUACUAUGCUACUGUGGACUACAUACUAUGCUACUGUGGACUACAUACUAUGCUACUGUGGACUACAUACUAUGCUACUGUGGACUACAUACUAUGCUACUGUGGACUACAUACUAUGCUACUGUGGACUACAUACUAUGCUACUGUGGACUACAUACUAUGCUACUGUGGACUACAUACUAUGCUACUGUGGACUACAUACUAUGCUACUGUGGACUACAUACUAUGCUACUGUGGGCUACAUACUAUGCUACUGUGGACUACAUACUAUGCUACUGUGGACUACAUACUAUGCUACUGUGGACUACAUACUAUGCUACUGUGGACUACAUACUAUGCUACUGUGGACUACAUACUAUGCUACUGUGGACUACAUACUAUGCUACUGUGGACUACAUACUAUGCUACUGUGGACUACAUACUAUGCUACUGUGGACUACAUACUAUGCUACUGUGGACAUACUAUGCUACUGUGGACUACAUACUAUGCUACUGUGGCCUACAUACUAUGCUACUGUGGGCUACAUACUAUGCUACUGUGGACAUACUAUGCUACUGUGGGCUACAUACUAUGCUACUGUGGGCUGCAUACUAUGCUACUGUGGACUACAUACUAUGCUACUGUGGACUACAUACUAUGCUACUGUGCCCUACAUACUAUGCUACUGUGGGCUACAUACUAUGCUACUGUGGGCUACAUACUAUGCUACUGUGGACUACAUACUAUGCUACUGUGGACUACAUACUAUGCUACUGUAGACUACAUACUAUACUACUGUGGGCUACAUACUAUGCUACUGUGGACUACAUACUAUGCUACUGUGGACUACAUACUAUGCUACUGUGGCCUACAUGCUUAAAUAUUUGGUGCUUUUAA